GAAGCAAACAUAGGAAGUGGCUUACUGCCUUGCAUAAAAAGAUAUCAGAGAACAGUGGAGUCAUUUGGAAAAAGCACUGGUAAAGUGGCUUCAGAAGUGAUUUUUUUCCCCUUAUUUUCUGGCACAGUGCUUUCUAAGAUGAUGUUGUUCACUGUAGUUUUCUUUCACUUUUAAAGGCAUGAUGGUUCCAGGCAGGAUAAUCUUAAAUGGUGAUUUGUCAUCUCUUUUUCCCCUUGCAGCAUUGCUAUGGCAACAAAAGAAAAUAUGACUUCACAGAGAGGAAUGUUGAAGUCAAUUCACAGCAAAAUGAACACUUUGGCCAAUCGUUUUCCUGCUGUAAACAGCCUGAUCCAGAGGAUCAACCUGAGGAAGCGGCGGGACUCGCUCAUCCUAGGGGGUGUUAUUGGGAUCUGUACCAUCCUGUUGCUGCUGUAUGCGUUCCAUUGAUGGGAUGUCUUCAGGGACUCUUGACAACCACCACUUUCACGCCCUGGUCUGGAAUAAGGAAACAUCGGAGGGAGAAGUUGACUGUCUUGAUAAUUAGCCUGACCAGCAGGAUGAAUGCAAGACUGACAGUGAUGGACUCUGUGACAUGGUCAGGUUGAGCUGAAGCCACAGUUUUUCUGUGCUGUCUUUUCUAACACAUUUUUCUGUUUUUAAUUAAAAAAAAAAACAAAAA
rnacentral:sRNA from 1 species